AGAACGAACGCUGGCGGCAUGCCUAACACAUGCAAGUCGAACGCUCUUGGUUUCGGCCAAGGGAGUGGCGCACGGGUGAGUAACGCGUGGGAACCUGCCCUGGAGUGGGGGAUAACCGAGGGAAACCUCGGCUAAUACCGCAUACGACCUGAGGGUGAAAGAUUUAUCGCUCUAGGAGGGGCCCGCGUCGGAUUAGCUAGUUGGUGAGGUAACGGCCCACCAAGGCUAUGAUCCGUAGCUGGUCUGAGAGGAUGAUCAGCCGCACUGGGACUGAGACACGGCCCAGACUCCUACGGGAGGCAGCAGUGGGGAAUAUUGGACAAUGGGCGCAAGCCUGAUCCAGCAAUGCCGCGUGAGUGAUGAAGGCCUUAGGGUUGUAAAGCUCUUUCACACGCGACGAUGAUGACGGUAGCGUGAGAAGAAGCCCCGGCUAACUUCGUGCCAGCAGCCGC
rnacentral:rRNA from 1 species